rnacentral:rRNA from 1 species
ACUAUCGUUAACUGAAUACAUAGGUUAACGAGGCGAACCGGGGGAACUGAAACAUCUAAGUACCCCGAGGAAAAGAAAUCAACCGAGAUUCCCCCAGUAGCGGCGAGCGAACGGGGAGCAGCCCAGAGUCUGAAUCAGCUUGUGUGUUAGUGGAACGGUCUGGAAAGUCCGACGGUACAGGGUGAUAGUCCCGUACACCAAAAUGCACAGGCUGUGAACUCGAAGAGUAGGGCGGGACACGUGGUAUCCUGUCUGAAUAUGGGGGGACCAUCCUCCAAGGCUAAAUACUCCUGACUGACCGAUAGUGAACCAGUACCGUGAGGGAAAGGCGAAAAGAACCCCGGCGAGGGGAGUGAAAAAGAACCUGAAACCGUGUACGUACAAGCAGUGGGAGCACCUUCGGGUGUGACUGCGUACCUUUUGUAUAAUGGGUCAGCGACUUAUAUUCUGUAGCAAGGUUAACCGUAUAGGGGAGCCGCAGGGAAACCGAGUCUUAACUGGGCGUUAAGUUGCAGGGUAUAGACCCGAAACCCGGUGAUCUAGCCAUGGGCAGGUUGAAGGUUGGGUAACACUAACUGGAGGACCGAACCGACUAAUGUUGAAAAAUUAGCGGAUGACUUGUGGCUGGGGGUGAAAGGCCAAUCAAACCGGGAGAUAGCUGGUUCUCCCCGAAAGCUAUUUAGGUAGCGCCUCGUGAAUUCAUCUUCGGGGGUAGAGCACUGUUUCGGCUAGGGGGUCAUCCCGACUUACCAACCCGAUGCAAACUACGAAUACCGAAGAAUGUUAUCACGGGAGACACACGGCGGGUGCUAACGUCCGUCGUGAAGAGGGAAACAACCCAGACCGCCAGCUAAGGUCCCAAAGUCAUGGUUAAGUGGGAAACGAUGUGGGAAGGCACAGACAGCCAGGAUGUUGGCUUAGAAGCAGCCAUCAUUUAAAGAAAGCGUAAUAGCUCACUGGUCGAGUCGGCCUGCGCGGAAGAUGUAACGGGGCUAAACCAUGCACCGAAGCUGCGGCAGCGACACUAUGUGUUGUUGGGUAGGGGAGCGUUCUGUAAGCCUGCGAAGGUGACCUGUGAGGGUUGCUGGAGGUAUCAGAAGUGCGAAUGCUGACAUAAGUAACGAUAAAGCGGGUGAAAAGCCCGCUCGCCGGAAGACCAAGGGUUCCUGUCCAACGUUAAUCGGGGCAGGGUGAGUCGACCCCUAAGGCGAGGCCGAAAGGCGUAGUCGAUGGGAAACAGGUUAAUAUUCCUGUACUUGGUGUUACUGCGAAGGGGGGACGGAGAAGGCUAUGUUAGCCGGGCGACGGUUGUCCCGGUUUAAGCAUGUAGGCUGGUUGUCCAGGCAAAUCCGGAUAAUCAAGGCUGAGGUGUGAUGACGAGGUACUACGGUGCUGAAGUAACAAAUGCCCUGCUUCCAGGAAAAGCCUCUAAGCAUCAGGUAACAUCAAAUCGUACCCCAAACCGACACAGGUGGUCAGGUAGAGAAUACCAAGGCGCUUGAGAGAACUCGGGUGAAGGAACUAGGCAAAAUGGUGCCGUAACUUCGGGAGAAGGCACGCUGGUGUGUAGGUGAAGUCCCUGCGGAUGGAGCUGAGACCAGUCGAAGAUACCAGCUGGCUGCAACUGUUUAUUAAAAACACAGCACUGUGCAAACACGAAAGUGGACGUAUACGGUGUGACGCCUGCCCGGUGCCGGAAGGUUAAUUGAUGGGGUUAUCCGUAAGGAGAAGCUCUUGAUCGAAGCCCCGGUAAACGGCGGCCGUAACUAUAACGGUCCUAAGGUAGCGAAAUUCCUUGUCGGGUAAGUUCCGACCUGCACGAAUGGCGUAAUGAUGGCCAGGCUGUCUCCACCCGAGACUCAGUGAAAUUGAACUCGCUGUGAAGAUGCAGUGUACCCGCGGCAAGACGGAAAGACCCCGUGAACCUUUACUAUAGCUUGACACUGAACAUUGAGCCUUGAUGUGUAGGAUAGGUGGGAGGCUUUGAAGCGUGGACGCCAGUCUGCGUGGAGCCAACCUUGAAAUACCACCCUUUAAUGUUUGAUGUUCUAACGUUGGCCCCUUAUCGGGGUUGCGGACAGUGUCUGGUGGGUAGUUUGACUGGGGCGGUCUCCUCCCAAAGCGUAACGGAGGAGCACGAAGGUUAGCUAAUCCUGGUCGGACAUCAGGAGGUUAGUGCAAUGGCAUAAGCUAGCUUGACUGCGAGCGUGACGGCGCGAGCAGGUGCGAAAGCAGGUCAUAGUGAUCCGGUGGUUCUGAAUGGAAGGGCCAUCGCUCAACGGAUAAAAGGUACUCCGGGGAUAACAGGCUGAUACCGCCCAAGAGUUCAUAUCGACGGCGGUGUUUGGCACCUCGAUGUCGGCUCAUCACAUCCUGGGGCUGAAGUAGGUCCCAAGGGUAUGGCUGUUCGCCAUUUAAAGUGGUACGCGAGCUGGGUUUAGAACGUCGUGAGACAGUUCGGUCCCUAUCUGCCGUGGGCGCUGGAGAAUUGAGGGGGGCUGCUCCUAGUACGAGAGGACCGGAGUGGACGCAUCACUGGUGUUCGGGUUGUCAUGCCAAUGGCACUGCCCGGUAGCUAAAUGCGGAAGAGAUAAGUGCUGAAAGCAUCUAAGCACGAAACUUGCCCCGAGAUGAGUUCU